rnacentral:tRNA from 1 species
GCCUAGUUGGCAUAUUUUAUAGCGCGACUGCCUUGUAAGCGCUAGGUUGCGGGUUCGAUUCUCGCCCGGGGCG